ensembl:snoRNA
GGGGUGAUGAUGGCCCGCACCCGGCCCCCUCCCCAACUCUGCUCUGCCCCUGAAG